rnacentral:rRNA from 1 species
CUCUGUGACUCCUACGGGAGGCAGCAGUGGGGAAUAUUGCACAAUGGGCGCAAGCCUGAUGCAGCCAUGCCGCGUGUGUGAAGAAGGCCUUCGGGUUGUAAAGCACUUUCAGUUGUGAGGAAGGUGGUGUCGUUAAUAGCGGCAUCAUUUGACGUUAGCAACAGAAGAAGCACCGGCUAACUCCGUGCCAGCAGCCGCGGUAAUACGGAGGGUGCGAGCGUUAAUCGGAAUUACUGGGCGUAAAGCGCAUGCAGGUGGUUUGUUAAGUCAGAUGUGAAAGCCCGGGGCUCAACCUCGGAACUGCAUUUUGAAACUGGCAGACUAGAGUACUGUAGAGGGGGUAGAAUUUCAGGUGUAGCGGUGAAAUGCGUAGAGAUCUGAAGGAAUACCGGUGGCGAAGGCGGCCCCCCUGGACAGAUACUGACACUCAGAUGCGAAAGCGUGGGGAGCAAACAGGAUUAGAUACCCUGGUAG